UACAGAGGGUGCAAGCGUUGUUCGGAUUUACUGGGCGUAAAGCGUACGCAGACGGACCGUCAAGUCGGGAGUGAAAGCCCUGGGCUCAACCCAGGAACGGCUUUCGAUACUAGCGGUCUUGAGUUUGGGAGAGGGAAGCGGAAUUCCUGGUGUAGAGGUGAAAUUCGUAGAUAUCAGGAGGAACACCGGCGGCGGAAGGCGGCUUCCUGGCCCAAUACUGACGUUCAGGUACGAAAGCGUGGGUAGCCAAACAGGG
rnacentral:rRNA from 1 species